CGAAAUGAGUGGAUCACUUGAGGCCAGGAGUUUGAGACCAGCCUGGGCAACAUAGGGAGACCCCUAUAUCUACAAAAAUGAAAAAAGUUAGCCAGGCAUAGUGAAAAAAAGGCCGGGCACAGUGGCUCACAUCUGUAAUCCCAGCACUUUGGGAGGGCAAGGCAGGCGAAUCAUCCAAGGAGAACAACAAGCUCCAUUUGAAAUAGGCAUAUCACCAAUCAACCGAGAUCAAUAGAAACAUACUGAGGAGGAAAAUGGAUCAAGGAUGACACUGAUAAAAUGGCAAAUAACGAAGCAUAAAAUGUGCAUGAAUUAUCAUCAAGCCUCAUUUCCCCGGUAUCUGUAGCCUGUAGGGCUUUCUCAAACAAAAACUGGACACAACCAGCCCUCCACCUACUCCAGACCUGCACCCACACAGCUGAAUGUGACUGGGAAAAAGCAUCAAGUUGCCACCUCCAGGCCGGGCACCAUGGCUCAUUCCUGUAAUCCCAGUGCUUUGGGAGGCUGAGUCAGGAGGAUCACUUGAGGCCAGGAAAGUUUGUGACCAGCUUGGACAACCGAGUGAGACCUCAUCUCUACAAAAAAUAAAAACUCCUUGCUGUUCCUGCACUGCCUCCUACCUGCCCCCACUCCCACCGCCAGAUGGCUCCUCCUCAGGACAUCCGCACUUUCUGUUCCCACUCCCGGAAUGCUCUUCCAUCAUUGACUCUUCUUUGGUUUCCCAUCAAUCACUCUCCUCUGGUUUCCCAUCACUCACUCUCCUCUCUUAUGUUUUUUCUCAAAUAUCACCUUUUCAGAGAGAUUCUCAGAUUUAUACAAAUGUCAGCUCCCCUGUUCCCCACAUGGCCUGUUGUCCUUUCCAGAUCUGCUUUUUACCAUAGUAUAUUUCAUCUUCUACCAUAGUCUCGAUCAGGACCAUCCACAGAACUUUCUGCCAUGAUGGAAAUGAUCACUCCGUACUGUCCAACAUGGUAGCCACUAGCUACAUGUGUCUACUAGGCACUUGAAAAUGGCUAACACAAUAAGAUAACUUUUACUGUUAUUUAAUUUUAAUGAAUUUAAGUUCAGUUUAAAUAACCAUAUGUAGUUCAGGGCUACUGUGUUGGACAUAGUAGGUCUAUCACUGAUUUCUCCCCUUGCUAGUUUAUUCAGAGGUUGAUUGUUUGCACAUUUGAUCUUCCCGAAAGUAAUACCCAUGAUUGACUUAUCCCCAUCACCAGCAUGCACCCUCCAUGAGGGCAGAUGUUUUUCCUGCACCUAACACAUAGUAGGUGUUCAGUAAGUGAGUCAAUGCCCUUUACCUCAAGUUUAUCAUUUUAAGAGCAAGAGUGUUUUCAUUCUAAACAUUUUCAGAAAUUAUUCUAAGCUCUGCAGAAUCUGUCCUUAUUUUAACUUAGUACCAGAAUGUAUUGUUUGCUUGCAAUUUCAAUGUUGCUCUUCUGUACAUAACUUGUUAUGUUGUAAUAAAUUGUGU